AUUGAACGCUGGCGGCAUGCCUUACACAUGCAAGUCGAACGGCAGCGCGGGGCAACCUGGCGGCGAGUGGCGAACGGGUGAGUAACAUAUCGGAACAUACCCUAGAGUGGGGAUAACGUAGCGAAAGUUACGCUAAUACCGCAUACGCACUAAGGUGGAAAGUGGGGGAUUCGCAAGAACCUCAUGCUCAUGGAGUGGCCGAUAUCUGAUUAGCUAGUUGGUGAGGUAAAGGCUCACCAAGGCGACGAUCAGUAGCUGGUUUGAGAGAACGACCAGCCACACUGGAACUGAGACACGGUCCAGACUCCUACGGGAGGCAGCAGUGGGGAAUUUUGGACAAUGGGGGCAACCCUGAUCCAGCAAUGCCGCGUGAGUGAAGAAGGCCUUCGGGUUGU
rnacentral:rRNA from 1 species